UUGCUUUGUCAUUAUGGGGUAUUGUGAUGUCAUUAUGGGGUAUUGUGAUGUCAUUAUGGGGUAUUGUGAUGUCAUUAUGGGGUAUUGUGAUGUCAAUAUGGGGUAUUGUGAUGUCAUUAUGGGGUAUUGUGAUGUCAAUAUGGGGUAUUGUGGUGUCAUUAUGGGGUAUUGUGAUGUCAAUAUGGGGUAUUGUGAUGUCAUUAUGGGGUAUUGUGAUGUCGUUAUGGGGUAUUGUGAUGUCGUUAUGGGGUAUUGUGAUGUCGUUAUGGGGUAUUGUGAUGUCGUUAUGGGGUAUUGUGAUGCCGUUAUGGGGUAUUGUGAUGUCGUUAUGGGGUAUUGUGAUGUCAUUAUGGGGUAUUGUGAUGUCGUUAUGGGGUAUUGUGAUGUCAUUAUGGGGUAUUGUGAUGUCAAUAUGGGGUAUUGUGAUGUCAUUAUGGGGUAUUGUGAUGUCAAUAUGGGGUAUUGUGAUGUCAUUAUGGGGUAUUGUGAUGUCAAUAUGGGGUAUUGUGAUGUCAUUAUGGGGUAUUGUGAUGUCAAUAUGGGGUAUUGUGAUGUCAUUAUGGGGUAUUGUGAUGUCAUUAUGGGGUAUUGUGAUGUCAUUAUGGGGUAUUGUGAUGUCAUUAUGGGGUAUUGUGAUGUCAAUAUGGGGUAUUGUGAUGUCAUUAUGGGGUAUUGUGAUGUCAUUAUGGGGUAUUGUGAUGUCAUUAUGGGGUAUUGUGAUGUCAUUAUGGGGUAUUGUGAUGUCAAUAUGGGGUAUUGUGAUGUCAUUAUGGGGUAUUGUGAUGUCAUUAUGGGGUAUUGUGAUGUCAUUAUGGGGUAUUGUGAUGUCAAUAUGGGGUAUUGUGAUGUCAUUAUGGGGUAUUGUGAUGUCAUUAUGGGGUAUUGUGAUGUCAAUAUGGGGUAUUGUGAUGUCAUUAUGGGGUAUUGUGAUGUCAAUAUGGGGUAUUGUGAUGUCAUUAUGGGGUAUUGUGAUGUCAUUAUGGGGUAUUGUGAUGUCAUUAUGGGGUAUUGUGAUGUCAUUUUGGGGUAUUGUGAUGUCAUUAUGGGGUAUUGUGAUGUCAUUAUGGGGUAUUGUGAUGUCAUUAUGGGGUAUUGUGAUGUCAAUAUGGGGUAUUGUGAUGUCAUUAUGGGGUAUUGUGAUGUCAUUAUGGGGUAUUGUGAUGUCAUUAUGGGGUAUUGUGAUGUCAAUAUGGGGUAUUGUGAUGUCAUUAUGGGGUAUUGUGAUGUCAUUAUGGGGUAUUGUGAUGUCAAUAUGGGGUAUUGUGAUGUCAUUAUGGGGUAUUGUGAUGUCAAUAUGGGGUAUUGUGAUGUCAUUAUGGGGUAUUGUGAUGUCAUUAUGGGGUAUUGUGAUGUCAUUAUGGGGUAUUGUGAUGUCAUUUUGGGGUAUUGUGAUGUCAUUAUGGGGUAUUGUGUGUAGAUUGAUGAGGGCAAAAAAACUAUUCACACAUUUUUGUAAAUGUAUUCAAAAUAAAAACUGAAAUAUUAUAUUUCCACAAGUAUUC
rnacentral:lncRNA from 1 species